rfam:Trichoderma harzianum strain T6776 Scaffolds0682.1, whole genome shotgun sequence.
AUUUGGCGCAGUGGAAGCGCGCCGGGCUCAUAACCCGGAGGUCGCACGAUCGAAACGUGCAAUUGCUA